rnacentral:lncRNA from 1 species
UCUCUCUUUAAUUUUUAUCUCAUCUAUAGGUGUUUUCUGACUUUUUUAUUAUUAUUCUUUUUCUUUUCUUUAAAUUCGUAUUCACGAAAAUUCGUACGACGAUAUAAUAUCGAUAAUACGGACAAAUGAACAGAGUUCUAUCCAUCUCUGUAGUAAAAAUAAUAUUACCAAAAAGAAACAAAAAAAAUGGAAAAAGGUUUUAAUUUCUACGUUAAAUCUUAUCGGAAUAUCCGAUGUCAUCGAGCGAUUCAUCAUCUUUAAAAAUACGAGGAAGGGGAAGAGGAAAAAAGUAAGAAGAAAAA